rnacentral:rRNA from 3 species
UUGACCUCGAAUCAGGUAGGGAUACCCGCUGAACUUAAGCAUAUCAAUA